CAGGUAAAGAAUUCUUUGGAUCAGUGGUUCUCCUUCUUUUGAAUCGUGUUUUCCUUGUGCAUCUUGUGCCGUGUGGAAUUCUAAAUGGGGGCUCCUGGUGUGAAGAUUUUGUUCUGCCAUUAAAUUGAUCACCGGUAAAUGAGCCACUGACAAAUUGGAAGCUGUCCCUGUCAUUCGUGCAUUGUAUAAGUUUUUUGGCGAAGAUUCAUUAAUUAAAUUGUUCAAUGAUCUUUAC
rnacentral:lncRNA from 1 species